rnacentral:rRNA from 1 species
CCUACGGGGGGCUGCAGUCGAGAAUCUUCCGCAAUGGGCGAAAGCCUGACGGAGCGACGCCGCGUGGAGGACGAAGGCCUUCGGGUUGUAAACUCCUGUCACGAGUUAAGAAGGAUCUGCCACGAACAGUGGUAGGUUUUGACGUAAGCUCGAGAGGAAGCACUGGCUAACUCUGUGCCAGCAGCCGCGGUAAUACAGAGAGUGCGAACGUUGUUCGGAAUUACUGGGCUUAAAGCGCACGUAGGCGGCAUCGUAAGUGUCAGGUGAAAUCCCACGGCUCACCCGUGGAACUGCCUGGCAGACUGCGAUGCUCGAGUGUGGUAGGGGAGAGCGGAACUCCUGGUGGAGCGGUGAAAUGCGUAGAUAUCAGGAGGAACACCGGUGGCGAAGGCGGCUCUCUGGUCCACAACUGACGCUGAGGCGCGAAAGCUAGGGGAGCAAACGGGAUUAGAUACCCGUGUAGUC